AUAGAGGUUAUGGYGUUGGCUUGAAACCAGUGGGAGAGGGUUCGAUUCCUUCCUUUCUUA
rnacentral:tRNA from 1 species